UACGAAGGGGGCUAGCGUUGUUCGGAAUCACUGGGCGUAAAGGGCGCGUAGGCGGCCAUAUAAGUCGGGGGUGAAAGCCUGUGGCUCAACCACAGAAUUGCCUUCGAUACUGUAUGGCUCGAGACCGGAAGAGGUAAGUGGAACUGCGAGUGUAGAGGUGAAAUUCGUAGAUAUUCGGAAGAACACCAGUGGCGAAGGCGGCUCACUGGACUGGUAUUGACGCUGAGGUGCGAAAGCGUGGGGAGCAAACAGG
rnacentral:rRNA from 1 species